rnacentral:rRNA from 1 species
GAGUUUGAUCGUGGCUCAGAUUGAACGCUGGCGGCAUGCCUUACACAUGCAAGUCGAACGGCAGCAUGAUCUAGCUUGCUAGAUUGAUGGCGAGUGGCGAACGGGUGAGUAAUACAUCGGAACGUGCCCUGUAGUGGGGGAUAACUAGUCGAAAGAUUAGCUAAUACCGCAUACGACCUGAGGGUGAAAGUGGGGGACCGCAAGGCCUCAUGCUAUAGGAGCGGCCGAUGUCUGAUUAGCUAGUUGGUGGGGUAAAGGCCCGACCAAGGCGACGAUCAGUAGCUGGUCUGAGAGGACGAUCAGCCACACUGGGACUGAGACACGGCCCAGACUCCUACGGGAGGCAGCAGUGGGGAAUUUUGGACAAUGGGCGAAAGCCUGAUCCAGCAAUGCCGCGUGUGUGAAGAAGGCCU